GCAACCGCUCAGCAAUAAAUCAGCCUCGAUCAAACAGUAAACAUCAGUCAUCGCUGAAGCCGAGGCCAAGCUCACUGAUGCGUCCCGUUCAAGAGCAGAGCCGUCGCCAUCGCUGUGAAAUCUCCAACCCAACACGGUCGUGUAUAAGAAUGAAAGCAUGAUCAUAGCAUGAUGUGCAUCAACAUAAUCUGAGGUAACUGGCUGUCUUGUGUCCCGGCCCAUUACACUCCGAGAAGCAGUGCCCGAGAGAAUCAGAGAGAUAUAUCACAGGUGACUAACUACAGAGGAUAACAGGAUCAGAUGAGUACCAUGCUACAUCAGGUUUAGAGAAGGCUAUUGCAG